GGAGUGGUGGUCGGCAGGUGGUGGUGUGGUGGGAUCAAUACAGCAGUCUGGGGCGCACGCACUGACCGCUCGCGUGGCGGCCCCGCUUCUACAAUCUAUAUUUGGACUGUAGGAUCGCCAUGACCGAAGACCAUGAGAUAGGCGUGGACUAUGUCUAUGAUGUCACUGUAACGGGGAUGGUCUGGGGAGAACCGCGAGGAGGUCGACCUGGUGCUAUUGCUGGGUAUAUUGCUAGCAAUGGGAUUCUCAGUCUCCAUUACUAACAAUCCCCGUGCUUACAAGUCUGUGUGCCAGUAUAAAGUUGGGGGGCAAACGAGCAGACAGUCCACCUGAUGAAAAGCGGUCACCGUCGUCUAUGAACACCUGCAACACGAGAGGAGUUGCAUGUAUGUUGCCGGUAAUAAUUAAAAUAAAAUUAAAUGUGUAAAGUUGUAG